rnacentral:rRNA from 1 species
UGGGGAAUAUUGGACAAUGGGCGAAAGCCUGAUCCAGCCAUGCCGCGUGUGUGAAGAAGGACUUCGGAUUGUAAAGCACUUUAAGAUGGGAGGAAGGGCAUUAACCUAAUACGUUAGUGUUUUGACGUUACCGACAGAAUAAGCACCGGCUAACUCUGUGCCAGCAGCCGCGGUAAUACAGAGGGUGCAAGCGUUAAUCGGAAUUACUGGGCGUAAAGCGCGCGUAGGUGGUUUGUUAAGUUGGAUGUGAAAUCCCCGGGCUCAACCUGGGAACUGCAUUCAAAACUGACUGACUAGAGUAUGGUAGAGGGUGGUGGAAUUUCCUGUGUAGCGGUGAAAUGCGUAGAUAUAGGAAGGAACACCAGUGGCGAAGGCGACCACCUGGACUAAUACUGACACUGAGGUGCGAAAGCGUGGGGAGCAAACA